rnacentral:rRNA from 1 species
UAGGGUAACGGCCUACCAAGGCAAAGACGGGUAGGGGGUGUGAGAGCAUGACCCCCCACAUUGGGACUGAGACAAGUCCCAUACUCCUACCAGAGGCAGCAGCCGGGAAUAUUGCACAAUGGACGGAAGUCUGAUGCAGCGACGCCACGUGGAUGAUGAAGGCCCUCAGGUCGUAAAAUCCUUUUCAUGUUCUAAGAGGAAGGACAGUACCCCUGGAAUAAGCGUCGGCUAACUAAGGGCCAGCAGCCGCGGAAAGACGUAUGACGCAAACGUUACCCCGAUUUACAGGCCGUAAAGCGUCUGUAGGCUGUUGGUUAAGUUGGGCGUGAAAGCUCCGUGCUCAACGCUGAGAGGUCGUUCAAUACUGCCGAACUAUAGGACAUCUGAGGAGCAUGGUAUUUCCGGUGUAGCGGUAAAAUGCGCAGAUAUCGGAAGGAACACCAGUGGCGAAGGCGGUGCUCUGGGGUGUGCCUGACGCUGAGAGACGAAAGCUAGGGGAGCGAACACGUUUUGAGACCCUGGUAGUCCUAGCCCUAAACGAUGGAUGCUAGAUGUGGGGCCGAGAAGGCUCCGUGUCGCAGUUAACGCGGUAUGCAUCCCGCCUGGGGAUUACGGCCGCAAGGGCUAAAACUCAACCGAAUUGACGGGGCCCCGCACAAGCAGCGGAGCGUGUGGUUUAAUUCGAUGCUACACGAAGAACCUUACCUGGGUUUGACAUGUAAGUGGUAGUGAAGCUACAGCGGAGCGACCCUUCGGGGAGCUUACACAGGUGCUGCAUGGCUGUCGUCAGCUCUUGCCGUGAGUUGUCCGGUUAAGGCCCGUAACGAGCGCAACCCUUGCCCUUUGUUACAAGUGUCUUAGGGGACUCCCGCCGGUAAACCGGAGGAAGGUGGGG